UACGGAGGAUGCGAGCGUUAUCCGGAUUUAUUGGGUUUAAAGGGUGCGCAGGCGGAGGGACAAGUCAGCGGUAAAAUCGCGGGGCUCAACCCCGCUCCGCCGUUGAAACUGUGUCCCUUGAGUGCGCGAAGGGUAGGCGGAAUGCGUGGUGUAGCGGUGAAAUGCAUAGAUAUCACGCGGAACUCCGAUCGCGAAGGCAGCCUACCGGCGCGCGACUGACGCUCAUGCACGAAAGCGUGGGUAUCGAACAGG
rnacentral:rRNA from 1 species